rnacentral:rRNA from 1 species
GGGCAUGUGCACGUCCGAGCCGUUUAAAUCAACACCUGUGAACUCACCGUAGGCCUUCGGGCUUAUGUAUCAUAUAUAUAUAUACUCAGAUCAUAGAAUGUACAUUUUGCCUUUAAAAAAGCAAUCAAAUACAACUUUCAACAACGGAUCUCUUGGCUCUCGCAUCGAUGAAGAACGCAGCGAAAUGCGAUAAGUAAUGUGAAUUGCAGAUUUUCAGUGAAUCAUCGAAUCUUUGAACGCACCUUGCGCUCCUUGGUAUUCCGAGGAGCAUGCCUGUUUGAGUGUCAUUAAAUCCUCAACCCCGUCCGUCGGUCGGGGCUUGGACUUUGGAGCGUGCUGGCGAAGGUCGGCUCCUCUUUAAAUGCAUCGGCGGAGAAAAACAAACCUUUUUUCCCCCUUCAGCGUGAUAACUGCGUUGCGCUGUGGUCGCGAAAGGGUCCGCUCAUAAUCGUCCCUCGGAC